AUUGAACGCUGGCGGCAUGCUUUACACAUGCAAGUCGAACGGUAACAGGUUAAGCUGACGAGUGGCGAACGGGUGAGUAAUGCAUCGGAACGUGCCCAGUCGUGGGGGAUAACGCAGCGAAAGCUGCGCUAAUACCGCAUACGAUCUGAGGAUGAAAGCGGGGGACCGUAAGGCCUCGCGCGAUCGGAGCGGCCGAUGUCAGAUUAGGUAGUUGGUGGGGUAAAGGCUCACCAAGCCAACGAUCUGUAGCUGGUCUGAGAGGACGACCAGCCACACUGGGACUGAGACACGGCCCAGACUCCUACGGGAGGCAGCAGUGGGGAAUUUUGGACAAUGGGCGAAAGCCUGAUCCAGCAAUGCCGCGUGCAGGAAGAAGGCCUUCGGGUUGUAAACUGCUUUUGUACGGAGCGAAAAGGUCUCCUCUAAUACAGGGGGCUUGUGACGGUACCUGCAGAAAAAGCACCGGCUAACUACGUGCCAGCCGCCGCGGUAA
rnacentral:rRNA from 1 species